rnacentral:rRNA from 1 species
AACGAACGCUGGCGGCAUGCCUAACACAUGCAAGUCGAACGAGACCUUCGGGUCUAGUGGCGCACGGGUGCGUAACGCGUGGGAACCUGCCCUUAGGUUCGGAAUAACUCCCCGAAAGGGGUGCUAAUACCGGAUAAUGUCUUCGGACCAAAGAUUUAUCGCCUUUGGAUGGGCCCGCGUUGGAUUAGCUAGUUGGUAGGGUAAAAGCCUACCAAGGCGACGAUCCAUAGCUGGUCUGAGAGGAUGAUCAGCCACACUGGGACUGAGACACGGCCCAGACUCCUACGGGAGGGAGCAGUGGGGAAUAUUGGACAAUGGGCGGAAGCCUGAUCCAGCCAUGCCGCGUGAGUGAUGAAGGCCUUAGGGUUGUAAAGCUCUUUUACCCGGGAUGAUAAUGACAGUACCGGGAGAAUAAGCUCCGGCUAACUCCGUG